UAUGCCAAAGACAGAAAUGAUUUGCACUUCCAGCAGAACCCUGGAGGAAACUUCCAUUGGCUUUAGACAAUGCUGUUUGAGAGUCCAGAUGACAUAAUGCAGUAUAUUGCAAAAAUGAGAAAAUAACCACAGAGAUGCUUGGUGCCAUUCUCCAGCUCGUGCUUUCUCCAGAGACGGCCAGAUUUCCCUAAAGGCAGACAACACAAGGAAAUUGCAGCUGGAGACACAAAAUCAGAAAUAUCUGCUGAGCCUGAAGCACCAUGUUCCUUUCAGAGCUUGAAUCCAAGUUCCCAUCAUCCUGCAAAUAUGCCUGAAAAAGUACUGCACUGAAAAUGACUCUGCUUUGCAGCUAUAGAUGCCUUCUGCUCUUUAAGCCAGUCCCCUUCAACAACACAUAUUCUCAUCUGUGCAUUUUUAAUGGAAGCAUAAUUUUUGUCAUAUGUUAUAAUGAAUAGCAUACAACUAAACGGUGCGUGUACGACUGUAAUUCCAUCUGGGAUUUUGUUGACAUUGAUAAACCACUCACAUUUUGCUUUUGUGGUUCAUGCCAUUACAGCAGCUCAAUGGGAUUACAAUCCUGUUAAGUAUAGCUGGUCAUAGGCAUUAUAACAUAUGAUAAUUACUGUAUGUUUUAUUAAAUAAAAGGGUUAAAUUUAAAUAUGUAAUUUAAAAGUCUCAUCAAUGGUCUGAUAAUAUGGUAUUAAAAUUAUCUUUAUGUUAUUA